AGCGAACGCUGGCGGCGUACUUAACACAUGCAAGUCGAACGAGGAUCAUCGGGUUAGCAAUAAUUCGGUGGUUCUAGUGGCGUACGGGUGAGUAACACGUGGGUAACCUGCCCUUGAGUCCGGGAUACCCUCUCGAAAGGGAGACUAAUACUGGAUACGUUCCCCGGGGCGCAAGACCUGGGGAGGAAAGGUGGCGCAAGCUACCGCCCUUGGAGGGGCUCGCGGCCUAUCAGCUAGUUGGUGAGGUAACGGCUCACCAAGGCUAUGACGGGUAGCUGGUCUGAGAGGACGACCAGCCACACGGGAACUGAGACACGGUCCCGACUCCUACGGGAGGCAGCAGUGGGGAAUUUUCCGCAAUGGGCGAAAGCCUGACGGAGUGACGCCGCGUGGGGACGAAGGCC
rnacentral:rRNA from 1 species